rnacentral:lncRNA from 1 species
CAAAAAUGUGAGCUCCUUCCUUUCUUAGGGAUCUGGCACAUUGAAAGUAGAAGGAGCAAAAAGGGAGAGCCGGAUAGGGACAGGAACCUGGUGAUAAAUGAGCUGCACCAUCAGUCUAGUUGAAGUCAACCCUUUUUUUAAAGAAGAUUAAUACUUGAGAUGCUCCCCUCAUGAGAAUGCUUAUGUCUGCCUCUAUCCCUUUCUCCUGGCCUGGCCACAUGCAAUCACCUCCCUUCACACAUGACACUUGAUGCUUUGGGAACAUCGUUCAUAUUAGUCCUCUUUUUUGAUUCGCCACAUGCCCCUUGAAAUCCUAUUUGACCUACAUAGUCAGCUCAAAUACAUUCAGUAUCACCACAAAGACCUCUUGGUGUAUUUAGCUGCAAUUUAUUGCUCCUUCAUUGGAAUGCCAUCAUCCUCCUCAUCAUUGAAGCUAUCAUUUAUUGAAUGCGGCUGUUUUUCCCCCUUGUGUUCUAUUAUUCAGCAGACAUUUAGAGGGUAUUAAACAUGUACUGAUUACUACCUGUUUGUUUGUGGAGAGGGAGGAAGGGGUGAGGGAUAAGGAGAAAUAAAACUUCUGCUCUCAAGGAAACAUCUCUCAGAAUGUCAUCAUCAUCGUCAAAUAUUGAAUCGUGACAGUUACGCCAUGGCUGAUUCAUUUCCUACUCGUGUGUGCGCUCGCACAUGGUCUUGCCCUCUUGCAGUCAGGUAAGGCCAUGUGACUAGUUCUGACCAGUGGGCUGUGAGUGGCUGUGACAUCUGUCCCUUCCUAUCUGAAGCACUUAAGAGCUGGGGGGCGAAUAAUGAUCCCCCUUCUCCCAAGCUCUCUCUUGCUUUCCUUAAAGCACUGCGGUAAAGUGGCUUUAAUGCAUGUCACAAGUUUGAGGUGACCUAGAUGACUGGUAAGUCAGUGAAUGGGUAGUAGUUGCCCUGGGGAGUCACCUGGCUCAGAGCUGAUUUUGUGUUGAUGAGAAAUAAACUUCUGUGGUAUUGAGCACCUGUGUUUUGGGAAGAUUUGUUAGUGCAGCAUGGCCUAUCCAAACCAACACGUAACUCAAAGACAGGUUCCCCUACUAUCCACAUCUCUAAAUGAGAAAACUCACACAUGGAGUGUAAAGCCAUUUGUACAGGUAGAAACAGAAGGAUUCUCCUGUUUCCAUUAUCAACUCUGCCCUCUUGUUUGGAUUGAUGUCUUUAUCACUCAGGUGGGUUAAUUAUCUCAGGAUUGGGCUCCUUAUAAAAGAAUCAACCUGAUUUUCUUUCUCUGUCUGGUGUGCUGAUUUGUCCUUCCAUCUUCCACCAUGAGAUGACCCAGAUGCCAGCACCGUGCUCUUGGACUUCCCAGCAUCCAGAACUGAAAAAGAACAGCACAAGACCUGAGUCAAUGAGCCCAGGAGCCCUACUGGAAGACUAAGGCACAGAGGACAGAAGGAAGGACACACACUGCCACUCAUUGCAAGACCACGGAAUAAGAGAUAUUUAGAAGAAUUACUGCCAGACUUUCUCGAUAUCAGUGGCAGGGUGUAUUUGAGCUUUCAAGCCUGUGGACACUGGGAAGGUGAGGACACAACAAGGUGCCAUCUUGAAAGGAAAAUGCAAACCUUCACCACACACUGAAUCUG